AGCGGAGCCCUCAUCAAGAUGGCGAUCUGGACCGGACAGCGACCGCAAGCGGAGCCCUCAUCAAGAUGGCGAUCCAUACUAUGACGGGUUGGCGGGUUCUCAGAUGCUUUGAAAGAUGAGACCAGGGUCAUCGAUGUGUUUCAUGAGCAGACAGCAGCUGAUGAAGAGGCAUGGUACAACAGUUUUGAACAUAGUUGUUACUACAGUGAAACACAAGCCACAUAUCAGACUCCGAAUGCAGUACCUCUGGAAUCUGACUGUUCUGCCUCAUUAAAACUCACUGCCAUCUUAACUUUGAUAUUUAUGGCUGCCACCAUCAUUUUCUCACCCACCCUGACUUGACAAAGUACAACUGCCAAUGUUCCUGGAAUUACAAGCUGCACAAGGUCAGGAUGUGAUAGAAUCACUGCAGUGGAAGCAGGUCAUUUGCUCCAUCGAGUCCACACCAACCCUCCGAAGAUCUUCCCACCCAGGCAUCCCCAUUCCUGUAAUCCUGAAUUUCUCAUGGCUAGCCACCUAACCUACACACCCCUGAACACUACAGGCAAUUUAGCACGGCCGAUCCACCCUAACCUGCACAUCCUUGGACUGUGGGAGGAAACCGGAGCACUCGAGGAAACCCACACAGACACAAGGGAGAAAGUGCAAACCCCACACAGACAGUCACCCGAGGCUGGAAUCACCUCCCUGGCGUUGUGAGGCCGCAGUGCUAACCACUGAGUCACUGUGCUGCCCUUUCCAGAUGUCAUAAGUGUCUGGCUGUACUGUUGGAGAUUGAAAUUGGAGAGGAACAGCAGUCAGGGAGAGGUUGUUGACCUCAGCAGAACUGGAGCUGGAUUGUAUUUGUUUCAAUGCAAGAGGUAAUAACAGGGUCUCAAGGACGCUACGUGCUGACCACUUCCGAUGGACUUGUGAUCAAAGAUGAGAAGAGUGAUAUAUUUCGAAGUGGAUUCACACAUGCUGCCUGACAGAAGCAGACUGUUGUAAGAAGUUAAAAAGCAGGACCUCAAGGAUAGUGAUCUCCGGAUUACUCCCAGUGCCAUGUGCUAGUGAGGAUAGAAAUAGAAACAUUCGCCAGAUGAAUGUGUGGCUGAGGAGCUGGUGUAGGGAGCAGGGUUUUCAGUUCUUGGAUCAUUGGGAACCCUUUUGAGGUAGAAGUGACCUGUACAAGAGGGACAGGUUGCAUUUGAACUGGAGGGGUCUGAUAUCCUCAUGGGGAGAUUUUCAACUGUUACAUGGGAGAGUUUUAAACUAGUUUGUCAGAGGGGUGGGUCUCUGAAUAAGAGUGGGGCCAUUGAGAAAUCAGGGGAAAAUACAUUAACCAUCAAGAACAAGUUUACUACUCAGGAUAGCUAGGGGCAUGGUAAGGGAUGAGAACAAAUUUCUGGUUUAAAGUACAUUUAUUUCAAUGCACAAGCCUGACUGGUAAGGCAGAUGAGCUCAGAGUAUGGAUUGGCUCUGGGGCCUGAGCUAUAAUAGCCAUAACAGAAACAGGGCUGAAAGAAGGGCAGGAGUGACAGCUCAAUGUUUCAGGAUACGGAAGUACAAGUAAGUGAGGAGGCAGAGUAGCCUUUUUGAUAAGGGAGGACAUACCAACAGUGCUGAAGAAGAUAUUCUUUAGGGGUCAUCAAAUGAGGCCAUAUAGUUAGAACUUAGAAACGAGAAGAGGAUGGUCUGUCUGUUGGGACUGUAUUAUAGACCCCCGCAAAGCUAGUGACUAUUAGAAAAGCAGAAGUGUCGAGAGCUUGCAGAUACCCUUAGGAAUAAUACAGCAGUAUUGGUUGGAGGUUGUAACUGUAUUGACUGGGCCACCCAGAGUGCAAAAGGCCCAGACGGGGUGAAAUUUGUCAAAUGUGUCCAAGCAAGUGGGCAGGACAAUGGCUCAGUGAUUAGCACUGCAGCCUCACAGCACCAGGGACCCGGGUUCGAUUCCAUCCUUGAGUGACUGUCUGCGUGGAGUUUGCACAUUCUCCCCGUGUCUGCGUGGGUUUUCUCUGGGUGCUCCAGUUUCCUCCCACAGUCCAAAGGUGUGCAGGCUAGGUGGGUCGGCCAUGCUAAAUUGCCAAUAGUGUUCAGGGAUGUGAGGAUUCGGUGGGUCAUGGGGGGAUGGAUCUGGGUGCGAUACUCUGAGGGUCGUUGUGGACUUGUUGGGGUGAGGGGCCUGUUUCAACACUGUAGGGAUUCUAGAAGAAAAGUUUCCUAAUUCAUUGUGUAGAGGGCCCUACUCAGGAGAGUGCAACUCUGGACUUGCACUUAGGAAACGAGGUCAGGCAAGUGACAAGUGUCAGUUGGAGAGCACUUUGGAUCCAGUGACCAUAACCCUCUUAAUUUUAACAUAGUUCUGGAAAAAGCUAGGUUAGGCUCACAGGUUAAGAUGCAGAGCCAAUUUUGGGGCCACUAGGCAGGAUCUAGCAGAAGUCAACUAGGUGAGUCUGUUUGAAGGAAAACAAUAACUGGCAAAUGGGAAGCUUUUAAGAGUGAGAUAUCAAGAAGGUCCAUCCCUGUUAGGGUGAAGGGAAAAGCUGGCAGAUUUAGGCAUCCUGGCUGACUAGGGAUAUUGAGGCUCUGGUCAGGAGAAAAAAGAAGGCUUACUUUGGGUUUAAACUAUCAGGCUCAAAUGAAUCCCUAUAUGACUAUAAAAAGUGUACGAAUGCACUUUAGCGGGAAAUCAGAAGAGCAAAAAAAGGAUAUGAGAUGGAUCUGGCAGAUAUGGUUAAAGAUAAUUCCAAGAGGUUCUGUAGCUAUAUUAAGAGUAAAAGAGUGGCUAGGGAGAGAAUAGGACCCCUUAAAGAUCAGCAUGGUCACAUGAGAUAGGGAAGAUUUUUAAUGAAUAUUUCUCCUUGGCACUUACUGAGGAGAGAAUCAUGGAUAAUAAGGGAAAAAAAAGUGGGGAUGUUUUGGACCGCAUGCACCUUCCCAGAGAGGAGGUGUUUGCAGCCUAAAAGAUGGACAAAUCCCUUGGGCCCUCAGACAUUAUGGGAGCUAGGGAAGAAAUUACAGAGGCCCUUACAGAGACUUUUGCUUCAUCUUUAGCCACUGGUGAAGUUCCAAAAGACUGGAGGAUGCCUAAUGUUGCUCUAUUAUUUCAGAAAGGUAGUGAAGACAAGGUAGGGAGCUACAGGCCAUUGAGCCUGGUUGUAGGCAAAUUCUUGGAGAGAAUACUGAGGGACAGGAGCAACCAGCAUUUGCAUAGUCUGAUUAGGGAUAGUCAGCAUGGCUUUGUGUGCAGGAAGUCACGUCUGACAAAUUUUUUAGAGUUUUUCAAAGAGGAUAGAUGAGGGUAGGUCAAUGGAUAGGUCAUAUGGACUUCAGUAAGGUCUUUGUCAAGGCCCCGCACAGCAAGCUAGUCAUGAAGGUUAGGUUGCAUGGGAUCCAGAAAAAGCUAGCUAAUUGGAUUCAAAAUUGACUUGAUGGUAGGAAGCAGAGGGUGAUGGCUGAAGGGUGUUUCUUGGACUAGACACCUGUGGCUAGUGGUGUACCACAGGGGUCAGUGCUGGGACCUUUGUUAUUUGCUAUUUACAUAAAUGACCUGGAUGUGAACGUACAAGGUGUGAUUAAUAAGUUUGCGGAUGAUAGUAAAAUUAGGAGGUAUCAUUGAAUGCGAGGAAGGUUAUCAAAAAUUACAGAGGUCUUGAUCAGAUGGGGAAGUGGACAGCGGAUUGGUGAAUGCAAUUCAAUGCAGAUAAGUGUGAGGUAUUGCACUUUGGAAAGUCAAACCAAGGUAUGACUUAUACAGUAAAUAGUAAGGUUCUGAGGAGUGGCAUGGAACAGAGGGACCUAGGAGUCUGAGUAGAUAAGUUCUUUGAAAGCAGCAUCACAUGUAGACAGGGUGGUGAAGAAGGCAUUUAGCACACUGGCCUUCAUCAGUCGAGGCAUUGAAUGUAGGAGUUGGGACGUUAUGUUACAGCUGUAUAAGUCGUUAGUGAGGCUGCAUUUGGAUAUUGUGUAUGCUUUUGGUCACCCUGUUAUAGGAAAGACAUAGUUAAACUGGAAAGUGUGCAAAGAAGAUUUUACAAGGAUGUUGCCAGGCAUAGUAGCCGAGUUAUAGGGAGAGUUUGGCCAGAAUAGGACUAUAUUCCUUGGAAUGCAGGAGAAUGUAGGGGUGACCUUACUGAGGCGUAUAAAAUCAUGAGGGGCAUAGAUAGGAGGAAUGCACAGUCUUUUUUCCAGGGAUGGGGAAUUGAAACUCGAGGGUGUAGAUUUAAGCUGAGAGGGGAUAGGUUUAAGAAGGACCAAGGGGCAACUUCUUCAUGCAGAGAAUGGUCUAUAUAUAUAUGGAAUGGUCUGCCAGCAAAAGCGUUUGAGGCAGGUACAAUUUGAAACAUUUAAAAACCAUUUGUAUAGGCACAUGGAUGGGGAGGGUUUAGAGGGAUAUGGACCAAAUGUGAGCAGUUGGAACUAGCUGAGUGGGCACGAUGGUCAGCAUGAACCAAUUGGGCUGAAUCGCCUGUUUCUAUGCUGUAUUACUGUCUGACUCUACGACCUCAAGCAGGUCCUGGCUGAUUAAGACCCACAGUGCAGAAGUUUUAUUCUUUUCUAAGGACUCAAGGGCCUUGGUCCGCUCAUCCAGAGAUAAUGGCUGGUGCUUAUUACCCACAGUAAUCCAGGAGGGCUCUCAUCAUGAAGAAAGUCCAGUUGACCAACAUUCCUUCCUCCACCUUCUUCACAGUCACCCUGACUGUAUUGCAGAGCCCUUGAGUUGGUGCACAGAUGCUCACAGAGGCAAUAGCUCAAGUUGGCUCGUCACUGAAAUGGCAUUAGGCCAAAACCAGCAUGAAGUUCCAUCAGCUGUGGCUGAGUUCAUCCAACGAUCAUCCAACUUCCACCCACACUCACAAUCCAGCAAUGAUCUUGAGUUCUUCUGAAGAUGACAAUGAUGGUGAUGAUGAUGGGUUUCAGUCAGACUUGUCCUGGGAGAACCACCUUCCAGAUUAUGGUAAUUCCCCCACCAGGUAAAUUCUUUUAUUUCAAAAAUAUACUUUGUUGAUAAAAAAAAUCUCAUUUUAUAUAUACAUUGCCACAAAUGCUGUUCAAAUAAACAGACAAAACAUUGGACUUUAUCUCUCUAAAAAACCAAAGACCUCUCUUGUCCAUACAGUACUAAUAUUUACAUAUAUUUGAGACACUGGGAGGGUCCAAUAACUGAACAGACCUGCACUUACCUUCAGCAGGAAGACCUGACAGGUAAAUAUAAUCAUCCAUAAUGCCAGGGGCAUGUGAAGAUUUCCCACAAACUGUAGGGCAACACAUGAGAUCAAGCUCACCUGUCAUACCUUUAACUACACAACAUUUCACCAAAAUUUAUAUCAAGUGGAAAAUUAUUAGUGUCUUUUACUAUCAACUCCAACCUGAAGAUUACUGUAAACUAGAAUUUUUUUUCACUUUGACUGACAAAUCAGCUCCCUCUAGGAACUGAAACAUAGCCUUUCAUAGCAUAACAACGAAUCAACAUCCAGCUCUCCUCUGAUGUCACCUCUACAAUUCCAGAUGGAAAUAUGUUCCUCUCCCCACUCUUCUUAAAAUUGUUGGUCCUCUUCUUUAUGUCAUCUUAGCUCCUCACUGUCUCAAAGUUUUGUAAACCCAUGUUGAUCCACUUCAUAGGUUUCAUUUUGUUGAUGCUCCAUAUUUCACCAGGGUAGGGGAGUCCAAAACUAGGUUUAAGGUGAGAGGCAAAAAAAUUAAAAGGGACCCGAGAGGAAACUUUUUCACACAGAGGCUGGCGCAUGUAUGGAAUGAACUGCCAGAGGAGUUGUGGAGGCUAGUACAAUUACACAUUUAAAAGGUAUCUGGAUGAGUAUAUGAAUAAUAAGGGUUCAGAGAGAUAAAGGCUAAAUGUGGGCAAAUGGGACUAGAUUAAGUUACGAUAUGCCGUCGGCAUGGAUGAGUUGGACCAAAGGUUUUGUUUCUGUGCUGUACAUGUCUUUGAUUCUAUAUUUAAACAUUGCCAGAAAUGCCUUUGUCUCUAAGCGAUUCAGUUGUGAACCUAAAGGCACUGUGUGAUACUGCUACAUCUAUGCCCAUACUGAUAUGUCCCAGCCCUUUAUAACUGUUGAGGGAAAUUUUCACUGGGCUUCCCGGGUGGAAAUAGACUUGAAAAUUAUAGUGAAAUGUGACUGCAUCAUUUCCAAUGAUUGUUUAAAUGCCACUAUCCUGAAAGCAUUUUCUGUUGGGCAAGUCCACCCCUGGUUCGAGUUGUGGAUGUUGUUAAUGUGUAGACUGAGUUCUUAUGAGAUACACAAAGCCUCAAUUACAUGUUGGGAGGCAAUUCAGAAACGUCUUCAUGAGGAAAAUAUUUUAGUGGGGCCAGGAGGCUGCUGCCAACUCCAGUUACCCCAUAACCCUUGCAGAUCCACCCUAGAGCCAGAUGAACCUCUGGAUAAUCUGAGUCUUGUGUCUGCUCAAUCCAGUGAACCUGUUGACCAGGCUUUAGGCCAGCACUAGUGGACAGUAUGCUGAGGAAUUAUGUUAGUCAGCGUCUUCAUAGAAUUUGUGUUCAUGUAAUUAUUCUAUGUGCAAAAUUCUUCAUAAAUCAGUAUAAAUAUGUACAAGUACUUAACAAAAAGAUAAUAAGUAUAUUUUUAUCUUUCAGUGCGGGUGUCACUUUCUGGGCCAGUAUUUAGUUCCCAUCCGUAGUUGCCUUUGAAAAGGUAGUGGAGCUGCCUUCUGGACCACCAGCAAUAUAUUUGCUGUGGGUAGAUCCACAAUGUCCUUAGGGUGCAACUUGCAGUAUUUUGACCCAGCGGACAUUGAAGGGACACCUAUAUAUCCUAAUCAGGAUGAUGAGUGCUUUGGAGGGGGAGUUUACAGAUGCUGCUGUUCCAAUUAAUCUGCCAUCCUUAUCCUUCGAUAGGGUAGUGGUGGCUGGAGAAUCCAAGAUAUCAAAGUGUGGAGCUGGAUGAACACAG